rnacentral:lncRNA from 10 species
UCUCUUGCCUGCCACCAUAUAAGACAUGCCUUUGCUCCUCCUUUGGCUUCCACCAUGAUUGUGAGGCCUCCCCAGCCAUGUGGAACUCACUUCUCCUUCCUGUCACCAUGUGAAGAAGGACGUGUUUGCUUCCCCUUCUGCUAUGAUUGUAAGCUUCCUGAGGCCUCCCCAGCCCUGCAGAACUAGUAAGAGACAUGGGUGAAAGAGUUAUCCGGAAUGGAAUGCUGAGGAGACCCUAAAGGGAAUUUCCGGGUGGAUGGCCAGCACUGUCACUCGAUGAGUGGAGGAUUAUUCUAACCCAAAAGAAUUCAAAUAUAUUGGAUUUCCUCUCCUGUUCAAUUGGAAUUCAAGGACUUAAUCCACUUUUAAUUACACUGUUCCUGUUGUUGCAUCAAAAGCUAAAAUGACUGAGCUGCUGAAAACCUUGCUGCUCUCCUGUUCUCCUGAUAGUGAGGGAGUUCUCAGGAGAUCUGGUUGUUUGGUACAUUGAAUUGAAUGAGGGAGAGAGUUCUAAACUGCUUGUUCUCAGUCUACUCCAGGUAAAGCUUACAAAACUGCCUGUUGGGUUCUUUCAUCGUUAUUGUUGCCACUGGAAGGGCUUUUACCACCACUUUUGAACUCUACAGCCUCCUGAAUAUAUCUGUCCAUCUAAGAAAAGGAUUAAAUUCAAGAUAACCCUUGUCAUCUGCAUGCUGCCACAUGGUUAGGAUGAAGACUGACACACGAGACAAGUGAUGGUUAAAUCACAGAAUUUGGAAAGAAAAAGGGCAUCCAACAGCCUUAAAGAUGAAGAAAUGGAAGCUCCAGAGUUGAAGAAAUGUGUCUUCACUCCCACAAGUAAUCUUGAAGUUCCGAGCCACCAUGAGAGUUUUCCUGACACUGAGGUAAUUUCCUACCAUGUUGACACCACCUUGCGCCAGUGUUCAAGACCAUCACAGCUAUGAACCUUGUUGGCUUGUAUCAGAUGCCUGCUGGGACCUUGGCUGCCCAUAGUGCUCUCUAAAGACUCCAGCUUUCCAUAACUCCUACAGUUUUAAGUUCAAGGAAUGAUGAAGAGGACGCCAAUGUACGGAUUUGAUUUACCAAAUCAGGCCUGUACAGCAGCUGAAUCAACCUAUGGGAAAAUUUUGGCUCUCUUUAACAUUCUAAUUUUUGAGAACACCAUUGCAAAUACAUGAUUUCCAAAAUAAUAACAAUGCACUUAAUUAAUCACAUUAUAGAUCAUCAUAUAAAAAUAAAUACCUAAAUAGAAAUACAAUUUAUUUUUUUCUUAAAUUCCAAAUUGCAUAGAGCUGCCUCCUCUGCAGUUUUCCAUCACUGCCUCCUUCUCAGACUUCUCCUUUUGUUUUUUCAUUUCUUUGUACAGACUCCAGUCAUUUGUUUAAAUAUUCAUACUCAACCAGAAUACGUUUCCUAAUGUGGGAAUCAUUGCUUAUUCACAGGCACAGCCCUUGACAUCCUGAAAACAUGUAGUAAUGAUUUUUGGAAUAAAGGUUUGACACUUCUACAUUUACAUGUAAAUGGAGUUAAAAAAUUCUAGGUUGAGAAUAAGAAUACUAUAAAAAUUUUGAUCUAAAAUGGAUGUUAGAGAUAACCCAGCGCAACCAGUUGCUCUUACAAUUGAGGAAACUGAGGUCAAGAAUGAGUGAGUGGCUCAGAGUCACCCAGCUCAUUAGAGCCUGAAUGAACCACCUUGGUUCACUACCUCUGUUCACCGCCCUUUCUAGUGCACUUCAUGAAAUCACUCUCUAAGUACACAUCAACUCAUUUAGAUACUUAAAUGAUUCUUGAGAAAGUAGAAAGUAUAAAUGCCUUGACCACACAUAAGAACUUUGACAUAUUUCACUCUCUGUACUGAAAUUUCUAACAAUGCCUGGUACAUAAUAGGUAUUCAGUUGAUUUGGGUUUCUACAUCCCUUUUCUCCUUCUCUUCUUCAAGUUUGCAUGUAAACCACAUUAAAGACUGCUAAUAUAUAAAGUAGGCACCAUCUCAUGAAUCAAAGAGGGGAUUCCUAGAGCCACUGAGGAUGUCUUUAGAAGCCAGUGGUGCUGAUCCCACAGCUACUCUCCUGUGGACAGUGGAAGUGCUCCCCAAAGUACAUUCUUAGGGGAAAUGGGGCUGCCGCCAUGAGGAGGUGUCAAUAGAGAUUAGAGAUGGUCUUUGUGCUGUGAGAGAGACCUCACAUUUCCAAAUGCCAAGUCCUUUCUUCCUCAGUCAAAUGUACCCCCUAGAACAUAGAUACCUACUAAGCUGUAGAUUUUUGAGGGGAUACAGAGCUGAAUCCAUAAGAUAGUGGAUUAUUCAGAUAAGAAUUUCUGUAGAUAGAGAGUUUCCAAUCAAUUAUGUACCCCAACAAUGUGAGGUCAACUACUUAGACUACCUCUUAGCUUCUACAUUUAGAUGUUUCAAAGUCUGUUCUGAUCCUUAAAUUUGACACUUCUCUUUAAUAUAAACAAAGCCCUUUUAGUAUUCUUUGGGAUUAGCUUACCACUUAAUAAAUUCCUUCCAACACUAUCUUCUGUGAGUCAACAAACAGCUUCCUCCUGUGAUUUGGGCCUGGCUAACAACAAGUUAGACUUCAGACGAAUAAUUACUAGGCUGAGGCAUUUUCCAGGUGGUACAUUCCCACUUUGAGGAAACUUGGUCAUUUUACUUUUGCAUUUAAGAUGUCCUUAGGCUGAAAAUAAAGUGUCAGUGUUUGAAAUGUC